CAUUCAAAUUUAGAUGAUCGCUUGCGCCAUUUAGGCGUGAGAGGAAAGUCCGAACACCGCGGUUAUCGUUCCAUUAAAAAACGAGAAUAGUUGGUAACGCCAACCGAUUCGAGAGGCAACUCUCGGAUUAGGACAAGUGCAACAGAAAAUAUUCCUAUUCGUGGAUCAAGGGUAUACCCUCCGUGAAUUAAGGGUGAAAAGGUCAGAUAAUCAGCUGACCCGUUUCUAUGGCGACAUAGAAAAAGAGGUAAACUUCUAUUCGGUGCAAUCCCAAGUAGGCCCUGAACAUUGUUGAAGGGCGGGUUGGGAGCUUGAUCCGCUUGGCAACAAGCGUGGCUAGAUAGAUGAUCAUCGGCCUCGCUUUGUAGCUACGCGCCGCGGCGCGUAGCUACAAAGCGGGGCUACAAAAUUCGGCUUAUUAAUUUGAAUGAGCA
rnacentral:RNase_P_RNA from 1 species